CAGUGUGUUAUACUGACUGAAGUAAAUCUGUUGCUGCAGAAGAAGAUUAAUGACUUCUGUCACGCUCAGCAGCCACCUAUCAAGUUCAUCAGUGCGGAUGUGUAUGGCAUAUGUUCCCGUUUGUUUUGUGACUUCGGUGAUGAAUUUGAAGUGCUGGAUACGACGGGAGAGGAGCCAAAGGAGAUCUUCAUUUCAAACAUAACUCAAUCAAACCCUGGUAUUGUCACUUGCCUUGAAAAUCAUCCACACAGGCUUGAGACGGGACAGUUCUUAACCUUCCGGG